UCGAAAUCAAUGUGAUCCACGUUGAAUUAUGUCGUUAUUCGUGAAAAAUAUAAAUUAAUUUCGCUCUCAUAAGUUAAAUGUGUCGUUAUUGCUGAAAAAAACAAGAUGCAAAAUUUUUUUAUUUUUUCACCAAUAUCGUUGUAACACAUAAUAAGUCGUCCUUUCAGAAAAAGAAACCAACUUCACUUUAUGACAAUAUCGCUGUAACACGAACGUUAUAAGUUCGUUCUGAAAAAUUAAUUUCUGAAAAAAAACAAAAUGACUACACAACUGCACAACUGAGAUGUGUCGCUGUUGUGGUUAAAAAUAAUGUGACAUGACAAGUUGAAUAACGUCACAAUCUUAUCUCGACUGUUUAUUUUUCUACACAUCAGAAUAAAAUUUUAACACAAUAUGGUCAAUAACUUUACGCACAUUUCUGCAUACUCAACUUAAAAAUCGUGUUUUUUGAGUUAUGAGCGAUAUUUAUAUUAUUGCAUCAAAAGCCGACCGCAACCAUAAUUAACUUAUUGUCACAGUUUGAUCAGUAUACAUUCAUGCAAUACAUAUGGAUAUGGCUCGACGACUACCAAUUUCCGAGCGAUUAAUGAGAUUCCAGGCAAGCACGUGAUUAUGAGGUAAACGCUUCGCUUGAAGUUAUGUGCCUUAAUUUUCUGCUGCAGCACAACUGAGUCGACACCAACAGCAAGUUAGUCCUGGGGAAACUCUGCAUGCUUUUGUUUAUUUACUUAUGUAUUAUUUGAAUAUCCGGUUUGUAACCGUUGGUACGAAUAUUAACCGAUGAGUCGCAACGUUAGUCGACAACGAACGGUUAACCGAAUAGUCGAAAAUGAGCGGUUAAUCGAAUUGUCGAUGACUGACGACUAUCCGAAUAGUGCAAACCGAAUAUUAUUAUUCGAAUAAUGUCCUAUGUUAGUCGAAUACCAAGAGCUCUUGUAUGUAUAUAUAUAUAGUUUUGGUUGCUUCCUUAAAAAUAAAAAAAAAAUAAUAAUGAGGAUCUCUGUAA